rnacentral:rRNA from 1 species
AGUGAACGCUGGCGGUAGGCCUAACACAUGCAAGUCGAACGGCAGCACAGUAAGAGCUUGCUCUUACGGGUGGCGAGUGGCGGACGGGUGAGGAAUACAUCGGAAUCUACUUUUUCGUGGGGGAUAACGUAGGGAAACUUACGCUAAUACCGCAUACGACCUACGGGUGAAAGCAUGGGAUCUUCUGACCUUGCGCGAUUGAAUGAGCCGAUGUCGGAUUAGCUAGUUGGCGGGGUAAAGGCCCACCAAGGCGACGAUCCGUAGCUGGUCUGAGAGGAUGAUAAGCCACACUGGAACGGAGACACGGUCCAGACUCCUACGGGAGGCAGCAGUGGGGAAUAUUGGACAAUGGGCGCAAGCCUGAUACAGCCAUACCGCGUGGGUGAAGAAGGCCUUCCGGUUGUAAAGCCCUUUUGUUGGGAAAGAAAAGCAGCAGGUUAAUACCCCGCUGUUCUGACGGUACCCAAAGAAUAAGCACCGGCUAACUUCGUG